AACGAACGCUGGCGGCAUGCCUAACACAUGCAAGUCGAACGAGACCUUCGGGUCUAGUGGCGCACGGGUGCGUAACGCGUGGGAACCUGCCCUUAGGUUCGGAAUAACUCCCCGAAAGGGGUGCUAAUACCGGAUAAUGUCUUCGGACCAAAGAUUUAUCGCCUUUGGAUGGGCCCGCGUUGGAUUAGCUAGUUGGUAGGGUAAAAGCCUACCAAGGCGACGAUCCAUAGCUGGUCUGAGAGGAUGAUCAGCCACACUGGGACUGAGACACGGCCCAGACUCCUACGGGAGGCAGGAGUGGGGAAUAUUGGACAAUGGGCGAAAGCCUGAUCCAGCAAUGCCGGGUGGGUGAUGAAGGCCUUAGGGUUGUAAAGCUCUUUUACCCGGGAUGAUAAUGACAGUACCGGGAGAAUAAGCUCCGGCUAACUCCGUG
rnacentral:rRNA from 1 species